CCUACGGGUGGCAGCAGUAGGGAAUAUUGCUCAAUGGGGGAAACCCUGAAGCAGCAACGCCGCGUGGAGGAUGAAGGUUUUCGGAUUGUAAACUCCUUUUGUUAGAGAAGAUAAUGACGGUAUCUAACGAAUAAGCACCGGCUAACUCCGUGCCAGCAGCCGCGGUAAUACGGAGGGUGCAAGCGUUACGCGGAAUCACUGGGCGUAAAGAGGGCGUCGGCGGGAUAGCAAGUCAGAUGUGAAAUCCUAUGGCUUAACCAUAGAACUGCAUUUGAAACUGUUAUUCUAGAGUAUGGGAGAGGUAGGUGGAAUUCUUGGUGUAGGGGUAAAAUCCGUAGAGAUCAAGAGGAAUACUCAUUGCGAAGGCGACCUGCUAGAACAUAACUGACGCUGAUGCGCGAAAGCGUGGGGAGCAAACAGGAUUAGAUACCCCAGUAGUC
rnacentral:rRNA from 1 species